UAGGGAAUCUUCGGCAAUGGGGGGAACCCUGACCGAGCAACGCCGCGUGAGUGAAGAAGGUUUUCGGAUCGUAAAGCUCUGUUGUUAAGGAAGAACGAGUGUGAGAAUGGAAAGUUCAUGCUGUGACGGUACUUAACCAGAAAGGGACGGCUAACUACGUGCCAGCAGCCGCGGUAAUACGUAGGUCCCGAGCGUUGUCCGGAUUUAUUGGGCGUAAAGCGCGCGUAGGCGGUUUUUUAAGUCUGAUGUGAAAGCCCACGGCUCAACCGUGGAGGGUCAUUGGAAACUGGAGAACUUGAGUGCAGAAGAGGAAAGUGGAAUUCCAUGUGUAGCGGUGAAAUGCGCAGAGAUAUGGAGGAACACCAGUGGCGAAGGCGACUUUCUGGUCUGAAACUGACGAUGAUGUGCGAAAGCGUGGGGAUCAAACAGG
rnacentral:rRNA from 1 species